UAGCUUCGGGGAUGUCGGUGGUUAGUGAAGUGAACGAGGAUGGGUUGCAGGAGGUCGUUGAGUCCGAAACGCCUGCUUCAGAAGGGAGUUUCUUUUAAUCCUCUGGUACCUGUAACUGGGAGAAGAAACCCAAAGAAACGUAGAACAACUAUUGGGGACCCGUCAGAAGAAUCGGCUCCGGAUUUUUUCUUGGGAUCGAGCAUCCGGCUUCACCGUGUCAAAACCACGUCUGGCCGAAUUUGCGUCGCUUUAUCCAGCGAUAUUUCGUUUUAAUCUGGCCAAAAUGCUUCUGCUUUUAAAAGCUGCCAGCUAUGCGGAGAUGCCUUUUUAUUUUAUUUUUUUUAAAGUUCUUUAUUGUAUUCUUUAGCAUCUUUAAAAGAAUUCUUUAGAAAAUGCUAACGUUGCUGUCAACUUUUCACGCCGGAGAAAAAGUAAUCAUUUUCCCCUUGGAGAGUACUAAAAAGCUUCUGCAUCCCAAACUGGGAAAUCUUAUGACUGCAUUUCUCUUAGCCUUGCCUGAAAAAAAAAGCUCAUGGCCAGAUUGAUCAUGCCUGGCAUGAGUUUAAUUGUAAUUUCUAACAUUUGUAAGUCUCUUCCAUUAAAAUUUAAUCUGGGCAGUAUACACCAUUCAAAAA